rnacentral:rRNA from 1 species
AGAGUUUGAUCAUGGCUCAGAACGAACGCUGGCGGCGUGGAUAAGACAUGCAAGUCGAACGAGAGAAUUGCUAGCUUUCUAAUAAUUCUCUAGUGGCGCACGGGUGAGUAACACGUGAGUAACCUGCCCCCGAGAGCGGGAUAGCCCUGGGAAACUGGGAUUAAUACCGCAUAGUAUCGAAAGAUUAAAGCAGCAAUGCGCUUGGGGAUGGGCUCGCGGCCUAUUAGUUAGUUGGUGAGGUAACGGCUCACCAAGGCGAUGACGGGUAGCCGG